ensembl:snRNA U6 U6 spliceosomal RNA
GUACUUGCUUCAGUAGCACAUAUGCUAAAACUGGAACAAUACAAAGAACAUUAGCAUGGCCCCUGUGCAAGGAUGACAUGCAAAUUCAUAAAGUACUCCAUAUUUUU